GAAGGUGUAUCUAGAAAGACAAAUUAGAGCUUGAAAAAUAAAGCAUUUCAUUUACAUUGAAAAGUAUAUUGUGUAAUUCAAUUUAAUUUGAUAAUAAAAAUUUAUUAAUUUUUUUUUGUUUAAAAAUUUAUUUAAUAAAAUUAAUUUUAAAUUAAGUUUUUUUUUGUAUAGUAUAUAGAUCAAAUAAUUUAUAUAAUAGUUAAUUAGUAUUGUAAAAGAAUAUUGAAAUAUUUGAAAAAAUUUUAAAUUAAAAGUAAAUUUUAUAUAUUGUACCUUGUGUAUCAGGGUUUAUUAAUUAAAAAUUAAAUCUUUAAUUUUUCUCGAAUUUAAGAGAGUUAAUUUAUUAUUUAUUUUUUUGUUUCAUAAAAAUUUAAAAUAAUAAAUUAGAAAUGAAAUGUUAUUCGUUCUUUAAUAUAUCUAGUUUUUUAAGAAAUAAAUUAAAUUUAGAUUAUUAAUAAAUAAUUAUUUAUUUAAAUAAUAAAUUAUUAUUAAUAAUUAAUAUUUUAAGGGAUAAGCUUUAAAAUAAGUUUUAUAAUGAUUUUUUAAUUUAAAAAUUAUAGGUUUAGAAAUAGUCAUUAAUUAUAAAAAUGUUAUAAUUUAUUUUAAGUUAAAAAUAAUUUUUAUUAAUUUAAGUUUUUAUUAAAAUAAUUUUUAAAAUUAUAUAAGAAUUAAAAUAAUGAUAAAAUUAGUAUAUUUAAUUGUUUAAAAUAAUUAAAUUGAAAGGUUAAAUUAAGGAAUUUGGCAAAUAAAUACUCGCCUGUUUAACAAAAACAUGUCUUUUUGAAUAUAAUUUAAAGUCUAAUCUGCCCACUGAAAAAUUUUAAAGGGCCGCGGUAUU
rnacentral:rRNA from 1 species